rnacentral:rRNA from 1 species
GACGAACGCUGGCGGCGUGCUUAACACAUGCAAGUCGAACGGAAAGGCCCUGCUUUUGUGGGGUGCUCGAGUGGCGAACGGGUGAGUAACACGUGAGUAACCUGGCCUUGACUUUGGGAUAACUUCAGGAAACUGGGGCUAAUACCGGAUAGGAGCUCCUGCUGCAUGGUGGGGGUUGGAAAGUUUCGGCGGUUGGGGAUGGACUCGCGGCUUAUCAGCUUGUUGGUGGGGUAGUGGCUUACAAAGGCUUUGACGGGUAGCCGGCCUGAGAGGGUUACCGGCCACAUUGGGACUGAGAUACGGCCCAGACUCCUACGGGAGGCAGCAGUGGGGAAUAUUGCACAAUGGGCGGAAGCCUGAUGCAGCAACGCCGCGUGCGGGAUGACGGCCUUCGGGUUGUAAACCGCUUUCGCCUGUGACGAAGCGUGAGUGACGGUAAUGGGUAAAGAAGCACCGGCUAACUACGUG